AACGAACGCUGGCGGCAUGCCUAACACAUGCAAGUCGAACGAGAUCUUCGGGUCUAGUGGCGCACGGGUGCGUAACGCGUGGGAAUCUGCCCUUUGGUUCGGAAUAACAGUUGGAAACGACUGCUAAUACCGGAUGAUGACGAAAGUCCAUGGAUUUAUCGCCAGAGGAUGAGCCCGCGUAGGAUUAGCUAGUUGGUGUGGUAAAGGCGCACCAAGGCGACGAUCCUUAGCUGGUCUGAGAGGAUGAUCAGCCACACUGGGACUGAGACACGGCCCAGACUCCUACGGGAGGCAGCAGUGGGGAAUAUUGGACAAUGGGCGAAAGCCUGAUCCAGCAAUGCCGCGUGAGUGAUGAAGGCCUUAGGGUUGUAAAGCUCUUUUACCCGGGAUGAUAAUGACAGUACCGGGAGAAUAAGCUCCGGCUAACUCCGUGCCAGCCGCCGCUGUAA
rnacentral:rRNA from 1 species